rnacentral:rRNA from 1 species
UACGUAGGGUGCAAGCGUUAAUCGGAAUUACUGGGCGUAAAGCGUGCGCAGGCGGUUCGCUAAGACCGAUGUGAAAGCCCCGGGCUUAACCUGGGAAUGGCCGUCGAAACUGGCGAACUGGAGUGUGGCAGAGGGGGGUGGAAUUCCGCGUGUAGCAGUGAAAUGCGUAGAGAUGCGGAGGAACACCGAUGGCGAAGGCAGCCCCCUGGGCUGACACUGACGCUCAGGCACGAAAGCGUGGGGAGCAAACAGG